rnacentral:rRNA from 1 species
UGCGUAGGGCGCAAGCGUUGUCCGGAAUUAUUGGGCGUAAAGAGCUCGUAGGCGGCCAGUUGCGUCCGCUGUGAAAUCCCGGGGCUUAACCCCGGGCGUGCAGUGGAUACGGGCUGGCUAGAGGCAGGCAGGGGAGAACGGAAUUCCCGGUGUAGCGGUGAAAUGCGCAGAUAUCGGGAGGAACACCGGUGGCGAAGGCGGUUCUCUGGGCCUGUACUGACGCUGAGGAGCGAAAGCGUGGGGAGCAACCAGG